UAGGGAAUCUUCGGCAAUGGACGAAAGUCUGACCGAGCAACGCCGCGUGAGUGAAGAAGGUUUUCGGAUCGUAAAACUCUUUUGUUAGAGAAGAACAAGUACGUUAGUAACUGAACGUCCCCUGACGGUAUCUAACCAGAAAGCCACGGCUAACUACGUGCCAGCAGCCGCGGUCAUACGUAGGUGGCAAGCGUUGUCCGGAUUUAUUGGGCGUAAAGCGAGCGCAGGCGGUUUCUUAAGUCUGAUGUGAAAGCCCCCGGCUCAACCGGGGAGGGUCAUUGGAAAGUGGGAGACUUGAGUGCAGAAGAGGAGAGUGGAAUUCCAUGUGUAGCGGUGAAAUGCGUAGAUAUAUGGAGGAACAACAGGGGCGAAGGCGGCUCUCUGGUCUGUAACUGGCGCUGAGGCGCGAAAGCGUGGGGAGCAAACAGG
rnacentral:rRNA from 1 species